rnacentral:rRNA from 1 species
UAGGGAAUCUUCGGCAAUGGACGAAAGUCUGACCGAGCAACGCCGCGUGAGUGAAGAAGGUUUUCGGAUCGUAAAACUCUGUUGUUAGAGAAGAACAAGGACGUUAGUAACUGAACGUCCCCUGACGGUAUCUAACCAGAAAGCCACGGCUAACUACGUGCCAGCAGCCGCGGUAAUACGUAGGUGGCAAGCGUUGUCCGGAUUUAUUGGGUGUAAAGCGAGCGCAGGCGGUUUCUUAAGUCUGAUGUGAAAGCCCCCGGCUCAACCGGGGAAGGUCAUUGGAAACUGGGGGACUUGAGUGCAGAAGAGGAGAGUGGAAUUCCAUGUGUAGCGGUGAAAUGCGUAGAUAUAUGGAGGAACACCAGUGGCGAAGGCGGCUCUCUGGUCUGUAACUGACGCUGAGGCUAGAAAGCGUGGGGAGCAAACAGG